rnacentral:lncRNA from 1 species
CGGGGCGGCCCCCCGGGAAGCCGGUGGUGGCUUUGGAAGCUGGAAGCUUACAGCUUACCUGGCCUGUUCAGUCAGCUGCAGAGCCUCGUGCACAACCUCAGGGAAGAUCCUGCGGUCACUCAUGUGCUUACUCCGGCACUUCACAGCUAAAGUAGGAUCCAGUGAAAGCCUCAACUCUCUACUUGGCAGUGCCACUCAAGACAAUCUGUUGCUUCCUUCAGGCCUCCUCCCAAAGCAGAGAAAUUAGCUGAGAUACCUGCCUCUGAGCAACUCUCUUCUGCUUAUUGUCAGGGAGCCAUGAGUGGUGUGAAAUUUACAGCUAAGAUCCUUUUCUGUGCAUUGCUUCAAGGAAAUGAUGGAAGAAAUUUAACUUCUAGAACGUGGGUAAAACUAUUUCC